rnacentral:tRNA from 1 species
UCUAAUAUGGCAGAUUAGUGUGAUGGAUUUAAGCCCCAUUUAUAAAGUUUAUACUUUUUUUAGAA